GCGAAAAUAGUUUAAUUGGUUUAAGCAUAACUUUGCCAAAGUUAAGAUUGAGGGUUCAACUCCCUUUUUUCGCU
rnacentral:tRNA from 1 species